GACGAACCGAGCGAACGUUGUUCGGAAUCACUGGGCUUAAAGGGCGCGUAGGCGGGCAUCAUAGUCUGUGGUGAAAUCCGGCAGCUUAACUGUCGUAUUGCCAUGGAUACUGGGUGUCUCGAGGGAGGCAGGGGUGCGCGGAACUAAUGGUGGAGCGGUGAAAUGCGUUGAUAUCAUUAGGAACUCCGGUGGCGAAGGCGGCGCACUGGUCCUUUUCUGACGCUGAGGCGCGAAAGCCAGGGGAGCAAACGG
rnacentral:rRNA from 1 species